GUAGGUGAACCUGCGGAAGGAUCAUUAAUGAAUACACGAGUCGCCUCGGCGCUCAACCCUUCAUUUCCAACUCUGUGCAUCAUAUCACGUCCGUGCCGCAGUUUACUCUGCCACGGGCUCACCUUACAAACACUAGUCAAAGAAUGUAAAAAUAUAAAACAAAUAAAACUUUCAACAACGGAUCUCUUGGCUCUC
rnacentral:misc_RNA from 1 species